GAUGAACGCUGGCGGCGUGCCUAAUACAUGCAAGUCGAGCGAACAGACGAGGAGCUUGCUCCUCUGACGUUAGCGGCGGACGGGUGAGUAACACGUGGAUAUCCUACCUAUAAGACUGGGAUAACUUCGGGAAACCGGAGCUAAUACCGGAUAAUAUAUUGAACCGCAUGGUUCAAUAGUGAAAGACGGUUUUGCUGUCACUUAUAGAUGGAUCCGCGCCGCAUUAGCUAGUUGGUAAGGUAACGGCUUACCAAGGCAACGAUGCGUAGCCGACCUGAGAGGGUGCUCGGCCACACUGGAACUGAGCCACGGUCCAGACUCCUACGGGAGGCAGCAGUAGGGAAGCUUCCGCAAUGGGCGAAAGCCUGACGGAGCAACGCCGCGUGAGUGAUGAAGGUCUUCGGAUCGUAAAACUCUGUUAUUAGGGAAGAACAAAUGUGUAAGUAACUAUGCACGUCUUGACGGUACCUAAUCAGAAAGCCACGGCUAACUACGUG
rnacentral:rRNA from 1 species